CCACCCACCCUGGGCGGCCCCAGGCUGCAGCUGGUGCACCUCAGAGGAGAAGCCAUCCCGGUCCAGCAGGAACAGCUCAUUAGCAAGAGUGCAGAGUGGCAGUGCCACUGCCUGCACUUGGACAGGCAAGCCCUGCUGGAGCUACAGCUGCCCUGUGUCUGCAAGGUCUCUGGCUGGAGGAAAUGCCUUUCGUCAGCCGCAGGAUGGGCAGCUCCGGAAGGAAGGUCCUCUGGGCUCUCUGUCUCCUGCAGCUCCUGGGAGCCAGCUCUGCCAAGAACAUCUGGAAGCGUGCACUGCCCAAGAGGCUGCUGGAGAGGUUCCAAGUGGAAGAGGUGAGUGCCCCUGGCCACCGGCAGCCUCUCGCUGACCGCUGCCCACCGCCCCCAAGGACCCUGCCCCCCGCCGCCUGCCAGGCUGUGCGCUGCCAGGCCGACUCCGAGUGCCCGAGACACCGGUGCUGCUGCUACAACGGGUGUGCCUACACCUGCCUGGAGGCCGUACUACCUCCACCAGUUCUAGACUGGCUGGUACAGCCGAAGCCUCGGUGGCUGGGAGGCAACCGCUGGCUGCUGGACGGCCCCGAGGAGGUGCUGCAAGCAGAGGCCUGCAGCACCACUGAGGAUGGCGCAGAGCCGCUGCUCUGUCCCUCAGGCUAUGAGUGCCACAUCCUGAUCGCCGGGAACAUGGCCGAGGGCAUCCCCAACCGCGGGCAGUGUGUCAAGCAGCGCCAGCAAGCAGAUGGUGACUCCAAGUAUGGGGCAGAUCCGGGAAGGAACAACAGGGGCCCUUCCAAUGGGGCAUCAGGCAGGUUGAAUGCCUCCCUCUCCGCACAUCCUGAGAAAGAUGAGUUAAUCCUUUUCGGAGGUGAAUAUUUCAAUGGCCAAAAAACCUUUUUGUAUAACGAGCUUUACAUCUACAACAUCAGAAAGGACUCCUGGACAAAAGUCGACAUCCCUGGCCCACCGCCAAGGCGCUGUGCUCACCAGGCAGUGGUGGUGCCUCAGGGAGGCGGACAGCUGUGGAUCUUCGGAGGGGAGUUUGCAUCCCCCGAUGGAGAGCAGUUCUACCACUACAAGGAUCUCUGGGUCCUGCAUUUGGCCACCAAGACCUGGGAGCAAGUCAGAUCAGCGGGAGGUCCUUCAAGUCGGAGUGGACAUCGGAUGGUGGCCUGGAAGAGACAGCUAAUCCUUUUCGGUGGCUUCCAUGAGAGUGCAAGGGACUAUGUCUACUACAGUGAUGUGUACACCUUCAGCCUGGACACGUUCACGUGGAGCAAGCUGUGCCCAGUGGGGCCUGGGCCCACACCCCGGUCUGGCUGCCAGAUGUCUGUCACCCCCCAGGGCAGCAUAGUCAUCUACGGGGGCUACUCAAAGCAGAGAGUCAAGAAGGAUGUGGACAGAGGCAGCCAGCAUUCCGAUAUGUUUCUGCUGAAGCACGAGGAAGGGGGCGAAGGCAAAUGGGUGUGGACCCGGAUCAGCCCUUCAGGGGUCAAGCCCUCGCCAAGGUCUGGCUUUUCAGUGGCCAUGGCCCCCAAUCAUCAGACACUGCUCUUUGGGGGUGUCUGUGACAAGGAAGAGGAAGAGAGCCUGGAGGGCGUGUUCUUCAAUGACCUGUACUUCUUUGAUGCCACCAGGAACCGCUGGUUCAAAGGACAGCUGAAGGGCCCCAAGUCAGAGAAGAAGAGACGGAGGCGGGCCAGGGAAGAGGAGCACACAAGUGCCGACGGGCAGGAGCACGGGGCCGCGGGUGCCCCAGAGCCCCUGGAGGUGGUCAGAGAGGUGGUGACCGAGGACGGGACUGUGGUUACCAUUAAGCAAGUGCUCAGGGCCCCAGGCCCGGCGGGGGCGGCCCCAUCUGAGGAUGAGGACAGCGCUUUGGAGUCCAGUGGCCCCAGGGUCGAGCCGUGCCCACGCUCCAGUGCCAUGGUGGCUGUCAAGCAUGGGCUGCUCUUCGUCUACGGGGGAAUGUUUGAAGCUGGCGACCGCCAGGUGACGCUCAGUGACCUGUACUGCCUUGACCUACACAGGAUGGAGGAGUGGAAGGCCUUGGUGGAGGUGGACCCGAAGACCCAGGAGUGGUUGGAGGAGACGGACUCAGACGAGGACAGUGGCUCGGCCGAGGGUGCAGAGCGGGGAGAUGAGGACACGGACAGCGAGGAGGAGGAGGAGGAGGAGGAGGAGGAGGAGGAGGAAGAGCCACAGCACCCAGAGGUGGCGCCAGGGAGCAGUACGAGGACCACCUGCCCAGGACAGAGCAACACUGGCUGAAGCAGCUCGCUCGCGACAACCUGGAGCCCGACGCCAAGGAGAGGAACGUGCUGAAGGUAGCCCAGGCCAUGGCGAGGACUUCCUUUGAUGAUUCAGUUCAAGGCGCUGCAGAGGCCAGCAGUGAAAGCGCAGGGCAGUGAACUUCCUUUGUGCUGUUGAGCGUCACUGACCACGGGGUGAGCCAGGUGCCACGGGGGUUGCCGUCUAAGUCUGGCGAGGCCUCUGUUCUGCCCAUCUGUGUCAGGGUGGGGCUUAGGGUGAGACCACCUGUUUGGAGGGUCCCCCAGAAAGCCUGUUGCUCUUCUAAUAAAACAACUCUGCUAGUUAACUUUAAAAUGCAGUACCUGUUGCCCAUGGCUUGGCUCUGUUUGCUCUGUGGGUCUCUGGCAGAAAGUCUUGGAUGUUUUCACAUCUACCUCUUCCCUCAUGGUGUUCUUGGGAAGGACCUGGUGGAGACUGUCAUUUGCAAAGUAACGGAGGGAAGCUGGAGCCCAGGGCUCCUGCCAGCCCCACAGUGUCAGUGUCCAGUGCUGUGGCCCCUGGGGCCGGGAUGCACUCCUGGGAGUCUGGUGUCCUACUGCGUGGGCCGGUGCCUGCUCCAAGUUGAUGACGGGAAAUCGGUUUGUGCUUUCCAUAGUUGGGACAAAAGUUGGGCUUUAGUUCCUACUGGCGCAGGUUCCCUUUCAUCUUAAAGAUCUUAACAGUGAGAAGGUGGCACUUAGGGUUUCCCGUUGCUUGUUGUAACCACUGUGCCUCCUGUCAUCACCCUGGAGUUAACAAAAGCUGGGAAUACCUGGCAGAGUGGGGCCACUAUGGCCAGAACAGUCUCCUGCUUUUCCAGCUGUCGUCUUUUCAGCAGUGUAUCAGCCCCAAGAAAAUCAGGGCCACUCAGGGCCAGAGCCACCACGUUCAGGCUUGGAGGAAGCAGACCCAUGUGCUGCGCUCCUCUGGCAGGAGCCAGCUGUCAGCAAGGCUGGACAGUGUGCGCCACGGUGAGCAGAUGAGAGCUGGCCCUGAGGGACCCGCCCUAGCUGCCAGCCCCACUGAACUCCGCUCUCAGGACGUUAGGGGGCCAGAUAGCAGAAAGUUGGCCCGUCCCCUAGGAGACACCGCCCAGCUGACUGCAGUGCCGCAUUGGCUCACUCUCGCUGUGGAACCGUGGGGACAGGGACAGGUGCCACCUAGGCCAGGUGGUCCCUGGGGACACUUGCGUUGUAAGGGGGCGAGUGGGCUGCACUGGAAGCAUCCGGUGUCCAGCAGUGUGCAGCUGGUGUCCACGAUGAAGCAUAGUGUCCUGCAUGCCUUGGGAGCCACCCAUGGGCGUCCCACUCCCCCGGCUCCAGGGCUGGGAUCACUGAGCCCUCCUGCCUGCCUCCCAGGAGCACCUGAGCUGGCCCCAUAGUCUGUGCUGUGUUAGGGUGAGUUGUUGGAUUUCUUUGGAUUAGUUGAAUUGGAGAAUAAUUAAGAGAACCACCAAUUAAGCUCGGAAAUCCUAAGUUUGCUUUGUUUGGGUUUGUUUUUAGGUGUAACAGUGGUAUUUAUUCCAUUUGAAAGCUGAUUUUUUUUCACUGAAGUACAGAGGAGGUCCAUAGCUAGGUGACAGUUAGAAAUAUUUCCAGGCCCAGUACUAGAAGAAGCCUCCCCCAUGGAAACAGCCAGUUCGUGUCAGAGUCAGGAGACCGGAUGGAGCCCACAGCCACACUUGGGAGCCCCCUCAAAGGUGUGUUGCCGUGAGGUGACACAUGUUGGUUAAUGGCUUUCUGCAGAGGAAUUGCCUAGGGAGAAGAUAGUGUGUAGCUGGGCUGCCGUCCUGUCCUAGUCAGGUCCCGGGACUGCUCGUCACUGCUGCUUCCCCGGGCCUGGUGGCUCCUGUGGGGACCAGGUGAGUGGACACCUGUGGCCGGCUGAGGCAGGACCCACCAGUUCCCCAGAGACCAGUUGCUGCCACUUCCCCAGAUUGACCAGGGUACCCCAGAGGGCACACAGCACAGAGGAGGCAGCCCAGAGGAGACUCAGGCACCAGUGGCACAGCAGGUGGCCACAGUGCAGGGACCACAGCAACCCCAGCAUCCCCAGGUCCACCUGGAGCCCAUCGUGUCCCUCGUCACAGCCCUCUCUGGCCUGUGAGCCGCUGGGAGGUCACGGGCUCUGCCUGGGGGGACAGAGCAGUCACGCUGUGAAAACAGCGGAAGGGGAAGGGUGUCACGCUGCUAGGUCCUGUACGGCAGAACCUGCUUCCUGUGCCCUCUGCACGGCAUCGGGGCUGUGGCUAUCGUCCAGCACCUCCCUGGGCCUGGGAGACUGACACCUGCUGCAUACCCUCGGCUCACCGGUGUUGAUGCUCGCCGCCUGUUGAGUGUGAAUGAAACUCAUUGUACAGAAAACGCAGGCCUGGGGUCACUCAUUUCAGAGGUCCGGAGAGAUGCUGUCAGGACAGAGGCUCUGCGCCUUGCUGAGGACCUGGCUUUCUCCAUCCUGCACCCUGGCAGCAGAAGGGACUUCAGGCACAGGCACUGGCUUAGGAGGUGACACAAGUCUUUCAUAGUGUCAAAGGACAUUUAUUUCUGAAAGGAGCAAAGUGUCUUUAAUCUCAGCACUGUCCCUUGCUUUCAGAUGGUGACUUACAUAGUGGUAUUUAUCUAAACAGUUACAUUCAUCAGAGAAGGUUACUGUGUUUCCAGUUUGUAAUUAACCAAGCCAUUUCCAGCUGAAUCGAGGCCAAGGUAACUUGAGCCACUUUGACCAUAGGAACAAUCAGUGCAUAGCAGGCAUUUCCUUCGCAAUCACAUUGCAUUUGCCAGUGGGUUACAUGUGGCAGGGGAAAACAUUGAGGAGACACAGAUGGUAAGUCCGAGUUCACCAAGAGGGUCUCCCUUAGUUGGGCUUCAUGGUGGUGUUUCUUUGGAAACUGUGAGUGGUGCAGAUGGGCAGAGUCCAGCUAAAGCAGCAGAUCAGAGUCAGGUGCGCCAGCCCGCGGGCACGUGACACACCCAGCCGUGAUGCCACUGUGGGCCAGGGCCGGGCAGCCUGCAGAUGCUCAGGAAGCCAGGUUUCGUCUGGUUCCCGAACAGCCUGGGGCAAGAGGGAGGGGCGGUACCCUGCACCACUCCGCUGUGCCUCACGCCCGUCCUCCCCUCUAGCCUGAGCCCGGUGCCUGAGGAGCCACUUGGCACGGACCCCAGCCCACCUUGCUAGCCAGUGUCUGCCUUGUGAACCCGGGACGUUGUGGGAGUCUUGCUGAAGCUGGCCUGGACCAGAGAACAAACCUAAGUAGACCCCUGUGCUGACUGCCAGCUGGGGCCCAGCCUCACUCCUUCUGGUGGAACUCGAUGUCCUGCUCUUCUUCAGGGGCAGAGUCCUGUCCUGGACUAGAGUGAGAAUCCUGUAUGAAAUGACUGCUGUGUGUACUCCUUGUCAUGGGACACAGAGACCUGUGUCAGCUGUCCCUGUCAGUUGACUCUGGAGUCGUGUAGCUGUGGAGACAGACAUUUUUAACCCUAGUAGGCACCUUUAUGCUGAGUUGGUGAAACCAGAGGCAAGUCAAGUUGGAAGACAAGACCUAUGAGAAGUCAUGAACCCAAGCUUACUGGAGAAGGGAAGGUUGCCCCUUCCAUUGUCUUGAGCAGCGUUUUAUUGCACAAAGGCAGUGAAAUGAGCAGACAUUCUGUGAGAAGCCUUGGAGCAGAUUGAAGGUCCUGGCCCGGUCCCCACCGGGCUGUGGCACCGUCAGCAUCUGGGAGGAAGCCGUGGGCCUCUAGCCACAAGUCCAAGUGGGAACAGGUCCAGCUGGAGGGGGUCAGGUGCUGACUCCGAUGUUUGGAAGUCUUUAAAGGACAGCAGAAAAACAAAGUCCCCCCACCCCAAAAGAAGAAAAAUGUUUUGUGUAUUCCCCAAGUAUUCAUUCAUCUGCUGGUACCUGCAGUGCCUCGGGCUCAGCGCCCAGCACCCAGGGGCUUCGGCAGCGACCUUCAUCUUCAUGUGGGGUGGCUGUGUGCCUGACACAGGGCUGUUUUCCAGGGCAACAGGAGCACACAGGGCCGGAGCCAGGACGCGGGGCCACCUGGCCUGCACCCUGGGUACCCCACACGGCCUGAGGGAGGCCAGGCCCCAGGAGAACAAGCCGUGGUCUUGCUUCAUGUAUCUCUGUGAACCCCGUGCUCAGUGCUUGUGAGGAAGAGCCCUUUCCACCUCCCACAUGGGAGCUAAGAGAGAAGAGGUUUCCUGCUGGGUAGGUCUGACUGUGGGAAAGCUGGUCGGAAAGUCUGUCUCAGAGCCCCUUUCCACUCACAGUCAGGGCAACAGGUGUUGCAUAGUGGCAGUUUAGUGUCAUCGUCCUCCUUAUCAAUUAUUUUGGGCUCUGGUGCAUGCCUGAUCUGUGUCUUUGAGAGUGCUGGGCUAAUGAACUUAGAAUACAAAAGAAUGAGUAAAAAUGUUUCAGUUACCUAAAGUUAUCCAAGCACUUUGUAUGCACUAACAGCUCCAGAGGGACAAGGAAACCCAGGUGCGGGGUUUCUCAGACUUCCAGUAAGGGACACAGCCAAGCCACAGGCACCGAGCGCCUCUCCCACCUCUUCACGGCAGGUUUCCAGGAGGGGAAGGUGGACCCAGGAAGCCCAUAGGGCCUGGGCGAGACCUUGGUACAGUCACUUAAUUUCUCUCUGCUUCUGGUUUUCACAUCUGGAGCAUGGAAGAAGCUGUUGAGGGCAGGAAGUGUUCCCAAAGAGGCUGCUCUGGUCUGUUAAAACUCAUCAGCUGCUCCGGGCUCUGGGAGCCAUCCUGCCUUACCUGCUGCUGCCCUCUUGCUCGGCACCGUGAAUUUCCACAUCCCAGUGCAAGGAGGCAGGGGCUCUGGACAGACAGGAACGCCUGCUGGCCACAGCAGGGUGCCGCCUAACUGCCUCACGGGGAAGCCAGCCGGAGGUGCGCUUUCUGGAGUGCCUUAGACCAGAUGCCUUGAUCUUGAGCAGAUCCACUCCGUUCCCGUGGUUGUCCCCUCCACACUGGCUGCAGACAAGCACAGGGGUUGGAUUCCGUCCUGCCACUGGCAGCAGACAAGUGCUGUGCUCCUCAGUCACCUGAGCAAGAAGCCACUAGUGUUCCUACGGAGGGAAGGACAUGCAUUCCCUGCACUGUGCUGUGCAUGUCGAGUGACGUGCAUGUGUACCUGCAGCAGACGGUACCCACGUGUGUCAGGCCUUACUAGGGUACACAAAGGUCUGGAAUCUAUAGUUUCACGCAGAAGGUACAAAACACAUCCCACAUUAUGGUUCUUAGGGCUACAAAGAGCAGGAGUCUUUUAUUUGGUUCACUUCAGGUCUGCAGCAACCACUUGUUAUUAAAAAAGAGGAACGGAAAGUAAGAUGUACAAAAAGAUGUAUCCCUUUAAAAAGCAACAUUAUCAGAAAUGUCUGUAUCAUCUCCUGAGUCUCCCUCCCUCUCUGCCGCCUAAACCAAACUGUGAGAAGGAACGGGGAGUGAAUGGAUAACGGAAAACAGUAAAACUGAAUGUAACUGGAACAUGCUCUAAUCUUUAGUUUAUUUCUGGUUAAAAAUAUAGCAAUCCAGUGCAGUGUAGUAAAGAAA